rnacentral:hammerhead_ribozyme from 1 species
AUCCAGAUGACGAAUCCCAAAUAGGACGAAAUGUGCAUCCUAGAU